rnacentral:lncRNA from 12 species
AUGUACAAUCUAAAUAUUAGUCAUUUUAGGCAAGAUUUUUUUUUUCUAGGUUUCCUAAAUGCUGGUCACAAAAAAAGACUGAUACCCAAGACAUACUUGAUGGAAGUAGAUUUUGAAGGCUAUGAUUUGACCACUUGCAUGAAUAUCUACAUGACAAUGCAUUAUAUGAUGGGUGCUACCCAAAGAUGGUAAUUUCACUAUAAAGAGACCCAGAGGAUUUCCCCCUGCUGUUUUCAGUGAUGAUGAUGAUGAUGAUGAUGAUGAUGAUGAUGAUAAUGAAGGAGAAAUAGGCAGAGGAGAGGAAAGAAAAAGGGAAAGGAGGUGAGCUGGGUAAGAUUAGUUAAUAUAAAUCAUUUGUUGAGAACCUACCUGGUGUUUG